CACUCGCCGCGCUGCACCCCGAUAUUCUCCACGUCCAGGAGAAACUGGACGAACGCCGCCCGCGAGGAGCCUCCUUCCCCCAGCGCCGCCUUCGCCUCCUCCCUGCGAGCCGUCAAUCGCUUCCUGAGCUGCGCGCCGUCCUCGGCCUCGAUCGCCAGCCUCACCUUGGCCUCCAGCUCGUCCGCCGUGACGAAGCCCUCCGCGUACCCCGCCAGCUCCACCGCCACUCCCAUGUCCUCCGCCGUCAUGCACACCUUGUUCAUCUUCUGCUCCGCCUCCAGCGGCCAGCAGAGCAUCGGCACUCCCGCCGCGAUGGCCUCCAGCACCGAGUUCCACCCGCAGUGCGUCACGAACGCGCCGGUCGCCGGGUGGCAGAGAACGUCCACCUGCGGGGUCCAUGACCUGACCACGAGCCCCCUGUCCUUGGUCUGCUCCUGGAAACCCGCCGGUAGGAGCGCGUCGAGGUUCGCCUCGGGGCGAACCUCCAGGAUUUUUCUCGGGUCAUCACACCCGGCCGGCGUGCGCACGACCCACAGGAACCGCUGCCCGGACCUCUCCAAGCCGACCGCGAUCUCCUUGAGCUGGUCUGCGGAGAGCGUGCCCUUGCUCCCGAAGCAGAGGAACACGACGCUGCGAUCCGGCUGCGCGUCUAGCCACGCGAGGCACUCGUUCCUCACUGCUGCUUCGCCGUCGUCGUCCUUCGCACCGUUGCCGACCAACGGCCCGACGCAGUAG
rnacentral:rRNA from 1 species